rnacentral:rRNA from 1 species
UACGAAGGGGGCUAGCGUUGCUCGGAAUUACUGGGCGUAAAGCGCACGUAGGCGGCUUGUUAAGUCAGGGGUGAAAUCCUGGAGCUCAACUCCAGAACUGCCUUUGAUACUGGCGAGCUUGAGUUCGGGAGAGGUGAGUGAAACUGCGAGUGUAGAGGUGAAAUUCGUAGAUAUUCGCAAGAACACCAGUGGCGAAGGCGGCUCACUGGCCCGAUACUGACGCUGAGGUGCGAAAGCGUGGGGAGCAAACAGG